ACGAACGCUGGCGGCGUGCUUAACACAUGCAAGUCGAACGGUAAGGCCCUUUCGGGGGUACACGAGUGGCGAACGGGUGAGUAACACGUGGGUGAUCUGCCCUGCACUUUGGGAUAAGCCUGGGAAACUGGGUCUAAUACCGGAUAGGACUACGCGAUGCAUGUCGUGUGGUGGAAAGCUUUUGCGGUGUGGGAUGGGCCCGCGGCCUAUUAGCUUGUUGGUGGGGUGAUGGCCUACCAAGGCGACGACGGGUAGCCGGCCUGAGAGGGUGUCCGGCCACACUGGGACUGAGAUACGGCCCAGACUCCUACGGGAGGCAGCAGUGGGGAAUAUUGCACAAUGGGCGCAAGCCUGAUGCAGCGACGCCGCGUGGGGGAUGACGGCCUUCGGGUUGUAAACCCCUUUCAGCACAGACGAAGCGUAAGUGACGGUAUGUGCAGAAGAAGCACCGGCCAACUACGUG
rnacentral:rRNA from 1 species